GCUACUCAAUUGGAAAGAGGAGUGGCGGACGGGUGAGUAACACGUGGGUAACCUACCCAUCAGAGGGGGAUAACACUUGGAAACAGGUGCUAAUACCGCAUAACAGUUUAUGCCGCAUGGCAUAAGAGUGAAAGGCGCUUUCGGGUGUCGCUGAUGGAUGGACCCGCGGUGCAUUAGCUAGUUGGUGAGGUAACGGCUCACCAAGGCCACGAUGCAUAGCCGACCUGAGAGGGUGAUCGGCCACACUGGGACUGAGACACGGCCCAGACUCCUACGGGAGGCAACAGUAGGGAAUCUUCGGCAAUGGACGAAAGUCUGACCGAGCAACGCCGCGUGAGUGAAGAAGGUUUUCGGAUCGUAAAACUCUGUUGUUAGAGAAGAACAAGGACGUUAGUAACUGAACGUCCCCUGACGGUAUCUAACCAGAAAGCCACGGCUAACUACGUGCCAGCAGCCGCGGUAAUACGUAGGUGGCAAGCGUUGUCCGGAUUUAUUGGGCGUAAAGCGAGCGCAGGCGGUUUCUUAAGUCUGAUGUGAAAGCCCCCGGCUCAACCGGGGAGGGUCAUUGGAAACUGGGAGACUUGAGUGCANAAGAGGAUAGUGGAAUUCCAUGUGUAGCGGUGAAAUGCGUAAAUAUAUGGAGGGAACACCAGUGGCGCACGCGGCUCUCUGGUCUGUAACUGACGCUGAGGCUCGAAAGCGUGCGGAGCAAACNGGAUUAGAUACCCUGGUAGUCCACNCCGUAAACGAUGAGUGCUAAGUGUUGGAGNGUUUCCGCCCUUCAGUGCUGCANAAACNCAUUAANCACUCCGCCUGGGGAGUAC
rnacentral:rRNA from 1 species